CUGUGCCCCACCAUGGACACGCUUUGCUCCACGCUCCUGCUGCUGACCGUCCCGUCCUGGGUCUUGUCCCAGGUGACCUUGAAGGAGUCUGGUCCUGCGCUGGUGAAACCCACACAGACCCUCACGCUGACCUGCACCUUCUCUGGGUUCUCACUCACCACUAGUGGAAUGGGUGUGGGCUGGAUCCGUCAGCCCUCAGGGAAGGCCCUGGAGUGGCUUGCGAACAUUUAUUGGGAUGAUGGUAAAUACUACAGCCCAUCGCUGAAGAGCAGACUCACCAUCUCCAAGGACACCUCCAAAAAGCAGGUGGUUCUAACAAUGACAAACAUGGACCCUGUGGACACAGUCACAUAUUACUGUGCACGGGGACCACAGAGACACAGCCCAGGGCACCUCCUGUACAGGAACCCAGGCUGCUUCUCAGGGGUGCUCCCUCCCCACCAAUGCAGAACAGGAAAGAGCGAGACGCGCAGCGACGCCCUCCCUAAAACCUCUCCCGCCCUCCUACCACGUCCAAUUACAGAACUAGCGCCACAGCCAUUCCGCUCGCCGAAGCGCACCAACCCUCCGUCCGACAGCGCCUCAAGUCCGACUCGCCUGCGCCUCACUACCCGCCGCGCCGCCGCCUCCACCUCGCCCACCCUCCAACCACUCACGGGCACUCACUCACCCACCGUCCCCGCCCUCACCCCACCUGCGCGCUAUCACUAUGCCUCGCUCAGACCCCCUCCUACACGCCCGCCACUGGAUAUUUCCUGA